rnacentral:piRNA from 1 species
CCUUACUACAUUGCAGUUCAGCCAGU